rnacentral:rRNA from 1 species
AACCAGCACCUCAAGUGGUCAGGAUGAUUAUUGGGCCUAAAGCAUCCGUAGCCUGUUCUGUAAGUUUUCGGUUAAAUCUAUGCGCUCAACGUAUAGGCUGCCGAAAAUACUGCAGAACUAGGGAGUGGGAGAGGUAGACGGUACUCGGUAGGAAGGGGUAAAAUCCUUUGAUCUAUUGAUGACCACCUGUGGCGAAGGCGGCAUCCUGGGUCUAGAUUGACGCUGAGGCUCGAAAGCGUGGGGAGCAAACAGG